CCAACUCAAAUCCUUUGAUGUGUUAUCAAUUCUCUUACAUGUUCUCCCUAAAUCUGUCGAUAUGCAUAUUAAUCCUUGCAUGUUCUAUCUAAAUUAGUUUAUACGUUGUAAGAAUUGUUUAAGGAAUAUUUUGUUAGCAUAUGACUCUUUCUAUGUUGUUGUGAAUUGUGAAAGGUUUAUUAUUUAGAUAAAUAAUAAGGUCAUUUAAAACAUUGGUUAAAUGGCAGACUGUAUGAAUUGGAAUGCAGAAUAUGUUGCAUUAGAAAUUUGUGAUAUAAAGUAAUGGAAAGUGUUGGUAUUUAUAAAAGGAAGAUUGUUUACAAUAACCUAGCUUGUAGUGCAAAUUUUUUAGAAAAAGUCUGCAAGGAGUGACAAAAUUGUAGCUUGCAACAAACCUCUUCCAGACUUUAACAUGAUGAUUCUUCAAACGCAACUCUUGCAAUUUCGUUGUGGCUUAUCGAUGUUUGUUAUAUUACUUAUUUAUAUCAACAGAAUACUAAAUCUGAAAAAUGUUUUUUAUAUUACAGGUUGUGCACCAGGACAAUAUUUUUUUAUUUUUAUUAGCUUAUAAGAAUUUUUUAUGUAUAGAGGUAUUUAGUAAAUAAAAUUUGAGAUAAUUAUGAAAAAAUUCAAACAAGACAUACUUGUUAAGAGGUUAUUUCUUAGUAAUUUUAAUAGUUAAGAGAUGAAAGAAAAGAUUUUUGAGUUUUGUUUUGUUAAACUGUUUGAGUUUUUAAAGAAUCAUUUUGAAAUUGUUUAUCAUUUUGCAAAUAUCAAUGCUUAGAUAUUUAUUGAUACUUAUGUCUUAAAUAGGGUUAAUACAUUUUUAUUAUUAUAUUUGUAUAUUGUGAAGAUCUUGUUUUUGAAAUAAUAUUUAAUAUCUUUG